AUUCAUAGCAUAAAUAAUACAAAAUACACAUUUGAAAUAGGCCAACAUGACCCUUGAUCAAAUCAAAUUAAUACACCAAAUUGUGAUUGCGAACAGGUACAUAUAAAUGUAUAUUCAUUAAAUAACAAUUUUAUCUACAACUUACAAAUGAUACUAUUCAUAAUUCAUAAUCUAGUAAAUACAUAUGAUAAAUUAUUUAUAUAAUGGAAAUAAAUUUUGCUAAGCGAGCUAUCCUCGGAUUCAUUAUUACCUAUGCCCGGGUUUUACCGCAUACCGGAAAAGUACAAGCGUUAUCAAAAUAAUGCGUUACCACAUGUCUUGAGAAUUAUUGUAAAAUUGAAAUAAACUACAGUGUGUCAUUCAUAAAAAACUGUUGGAAAUAGUUGUUUGAGUGAUAUUUCAUAUUCCGAGGAUAACUAAAGGUGGAGAAAGUAAAAACUAAGUUGGAUAUAUUGAAUUUAUCUUAACGCAAGAGACAGGGUUUACAUGUAUAUACAUCAGUUUUGUCCAGUGUAAAGUCGGCGCAAUGAAGAUAUAGAUGCAUGUUUCACCUGUCUUAAAAAUAAGCCCAUAGCCUUCUGCGCUUGACCAGAGAGAGUCUUCUGACAUUCUACCCACGAUCCUCCUGAGGUCAAAACCACUCCGAGGUGUUGGUGAAUAGUUGGGUGUUCUCCGGCUCUCUCAUCUUAGAUUUACUCGAUGCAGUCCCAUCAUGAGAGAUGUUGUUCGAAUAUUUCCCAAAUAAUGGUUCACUGACAGACUCGAUGUAAGUGCAGAGUUGGUUGACACACAUGUCUAUCUCUUCACCUGACGUAGAUGCUUCAAUAUUAUAUACAAGGUCGACCUCCACCCUGGUUGGUAGACGUCGUAGCAGCCUGCGACGUUUUCCUUGGUGGCCGUGUACUGGAUGAGCGGACUCUCUGAGGGUUUCCAGUCGAAUGUGCUCGCGCACGCGUUCUACCACGUUGGGUCGAUUUACCAGCUGCUUUAGAACUAGCGUUACUCGCGGACUGUGUUGGCUGUGAGCUGCUAUUCGUGCCGGCGACUUGUUGAGGCUGUGAUAGUUGUGAGGCAUUACCCUGGGAGCGGGUACUACCAGCUUGUUUCCAGUCGAAGAAGACCGGCGGUGAUGGAUUCUGAGAUGGAGCGUUAAUAGUCGUUUGUGUAUUUGCCCGUGGAGCCGUAUUCGCUGACGAUUUCGGUCCGACGGGCUGGUCUGUAGACGCGUGCGUGUACACCGGUCUACUUAGCAAUCGGCUCCACCCCGGAAAUUCAUCUCUGACCACUUCACCAUUGACUACUACCGCCGCCGGAUACUUUAGCUGAACUCUAGCUGAACGAUUCUCCGCUCGCAGCCUCUUAUACGUGGGCCACACACGUUUUCUUGCCUGUCUGACUUCGUCUGGAUAAUCCCGGUCGAUUGCAUAGCGACUACCAGCAAGAUAUUUUGCAUUUUUCAUCACAGUGUCAACCUCAUAGCCAUAUCUAAACGUGACUACGAUCGGACGUCUUAGUGGGCCAUUGGUGUUACGCCGAUUAAUAUUACCCAAACGUUCGGUAUUAUCAAUGUAAAAGUCACUUGCAUUCAAAUUCAUGUUUGUGUACAUGAAAUCAUUGAUCACCUCAUAAUUGUCUUUGCCUGGAACUUCAUCAAGACCAUAGAUGAGAAGAUUUCUCUUACGCUCACGUGUUUCUAAAUCAAUGACUUUGUAGGUUAAUGACAAUAUUUUAUCAUCUUGGUCAUCUAGUCUUUUAUUACAAUCACUGGCGGAUUUUGUCAAAUCAUUUAUACUGUUUUGGUUUUGUUCAACAACAUCAAGUUUUGAGAAUAAAGCAAUAAGUUUAU